GUAUCCAAUGAGAUGCAGGCCGCUUGAAUGGCAUUCAAGAGGUCGUCGGUUCGAUUCCGAUUGGCUCCACCA
rnacentral:tRNA from 1 species